rnacentral:sRNA from 1 species
GCGGCCUCCGGUCCUCCCUCUACCUCCUCCUCGGCCCCCCCUCGCUUCCCUCCUCCCACUUCCCGAGCUCCGGCGUGUCCCGGCCACGCUCGGCGCUGCUGCAGGAACAAAGGAAGACCCCGCGGCGGCGGCGGCGCCACCUCCGCCUGCGGCUCCGACUCGCUCCCGGCCCGCGGCGGCGGCACCAGGGCGCCCGGCUCAGCCUUCCCGGAGGCCUCGCCCCGGCCUCAUCGUGCCGGCUUCGCGCGCGAACCCGGCUUUCGCAUUUGGGACCCCGCAGGCAGAAAAAUAUGGCUCAGGAGACUAACCAGACCCCGGGGCCCAUGCUGUGUAGCACAGGAUGUGGCUUUUAUGGAAAUCCUAGGACAAAUGGAAUGUGUUCAGUUUGCUACAAAGAACAUCUUCAGAGGCAGCAAAAUAGUGGCAGAAUGAGCCCAAUGGGUAAGUUAUUUCCAAGGAAAAACACAUUUGAAGAACUGGUGGACAGAAAUACAGAACCAAGAAUUGGGGCUGAGAAUGCUGAAAGCACAUGGAGAGAACACCUGACAAGAGCUUGAAAUUCAAGCAACAGCCCAAGUGCUUGACAUGACUGAUCAGGAAUGAAUGACUAUCUACAAGCAUCUUCUAGCU